CUACGGAGGGUGCAAGCGUUGUUCGGAAUCACUGGGCGUAAAGGGCGCGCAGGCGGUUUGGUAAGUCAGAUGUGAAAGCCCACGGCUCAACCGUGGAAGUGCAUUUGAAACUGCCAGACUUGAGUACCAGAGGGGAAAGUGGAAUUCCCGGUGUAGAGGUGAAAUUCGUAGAUAUCGGGAGGAAUACCGGUGGCGAAGGCGACUUUCUGGCUGGAUACUGACGCUGAGGCGCGAAAGCGUGGGGAGCAAACAGGAUUAGAAACCCCAGUAGUCC
rnacentral:rRNA from 1 species